AGUCGAUCUAAGGCCUCAGGACUUGCAUUUUUCAAUUUAUCAAUCAAGAAAAUGUGCAGUAUUCAGAGAUCAUGUGGUUCAAUGGUGGAUAUUGACAGUGUAGAUUGUAAGAGUUCGUACGUAAAGGGUUGAAAUGCCAGGCAUCUACCCGGGGUUUCACCUAAUUUUUACAAUCUAAACUGUCAAUAUCCACCAUUGAA
rnacentral:misc_RNA from 1 species